GACGUAGGGGGCGAGCGUUGUCCGGAUUUAUUGGGCGUAAAGAGCUCGUAGGCGGCUCAGAAAGUCGGGUGUGAAACCUCCAGGCUCAACCUGGAGACGCCACCUGAUACUGCUGUGGCUAGAGUCCGGUAGGGGAACACGGAAUUCCCGGUGUAGCGGUGAAAUGCUUAGAUAUCGGGAGGAACACCAGUGGCGAAGGCGGUGUUCUGGGCCGGAACUGACGCUGAUGCGCGAAAGCGUGGGUAGCAAACAGG
rnacentral:rRNA from 1 species